CUCAGCCUCACAGCAGUUUCAAUGGCGAAAAGUGUCGCGGCAACAUGCGAACACGCUUCACCUACACCUGCCAUGCAAGUACAAUGAGCGGUAGUAACAGUGCCGUCUGUUCUAGCCAAAAUCCACACUUUCAGCGGUGACUCUCGUAGACGCUGGGAGUGGUUGACCUGAAAGGUCAAAAAAAAUGAU
rnacentral:lncRNA from 1 species